rnacentral:rRNA from 1 species
AAAUUGAAGAGUUUGAUCAUGGCUCAGAUUGAACGCUGGCGGCAGGCCUAACACAUGCAAGUCGAACGGUAACAGGAAGCAGCUUGCUGUUUCGCUGACGAGUGGCGGACGGGUGAGUAAUGUCUGGGAAACAGCCUGAUGGAGGGGGAUAACUACUGGAAACGGUAGCUAAUACCGCAUAACGUCGCAAGACCAAAGAGGGGGACCUUCGGGCCUCUUGCCAUCGGAUGUGCCCAGAUGGGAUUAGCUAGUAGGUGGGGUAACGGCUCACCUAGGCGACGAUCCCUAGCUGGUCUGAGAGGAUGACCAGCCACACUGGAACUGAGACACGGUCCAGACUCCUACGGGAGGCAGCAGUGGGGAAUAUUGCACAAUGGGCGCAAGCCUGAUGCAGCCAUGCCGCGUGUAUGAAGAAGGCCUUCGGGUUGUAAAGUACUUUCAGCGGGGAGGAAGGGAGUAAAGUUAAUACCUUUACUCAUUGACGUUACCCGCAGAAGAAGCACCGGCUAACUCCGUGCCAGCAGCCGCGGUAAUACGGAGGGUG